rnacentral:rRNA from 1 species
GCGGCGAACGGGUGAGGAACACGUGAGGAAUCUGCCUUCAACACUGGGAUAACUCCGGGAAACCGGGGCUAAUACCGGAUACGAGACCUGCAGGCAUCUGCGGGUCUGGAAAGUUUUUCGGUUGAAGAUGACCUCGCGGCCUAUCAGCUUGUUGGUGAGGUAAUGGCUCACCAAGGCGACGACGGGUAGCCGGCCUGAGAGGGCGACCGGCCACACUGGGACUGAGACACGGCCCAGACUCCUACGGGAGGCAGCAGUGGGGAAUAUUGGGCAAUGGAGGAAACUCUGACCCAGCGACGCCGCGUGCGGGAUGAAGGCCUUCGGGUUGUAAACCGCUUUCAGCAAGGAAGAAGCGAAAGUGACGGUACUUGCAGAAGAAGCACCGGCUAACUAUGUGCCAGCAGCCGCGGUAAUACAUAGGGUGCAAGCGUUGUCCGGAAUUAUUGGGCGUAAAGAGCUCGUAGGUGGUUCGUCACGUCGGAUGUGAAAAUCUGGGGCUUAACCCCAGACCUGCAUUCGAUACGGGCGAGCUAGAGUGUGGUAGGGGAGACUGGAAUUCCUGGUGUAGCGGUGGAAUGCGCAGAUAUCAGGAGGAACACCAAUGGCGAAGGCAGGUCUCUGGGCCAUUACUGACACUGAGGAGCGAAAGCGUGGGGAGCGAACAGGAUUAGAUACCC